UGUUGGUAUUCUCUCUCUCUCUCUCUCUUUCUUUUUCUUUCUUUCUCUCUUCUAUUCUGUGUUGGU
rnacentral:ribozyme from 14 species